UACAGAGGGUGCUAGCGUUAAUCGGAUUUACUGGGCGUAAAGGGUGUGUAGGCGGUUUGUUAAGUCGGAUGUGAAAGCCCUGGGCUCAACCUAGGAAUCGCAUUCGAUACUGGCAGGCUAGAGUACGGUAGAGGGUGGCGGAAUUCCGGGUGUAGCGGUGAAAUGCGUAGAUAUCCGGAGGAACACCGAUGGCGAAGGCAACCACCUGGGCCUGUACUGACGCUGAGACACGAAAGCGUGGGGAGCAAACAGG
rnacentral:rRNA from 1 species